rnacentral:rRNA from 1 species
GUCAGCAACUUAUAUUCUGUAGCAAGGUUAACCGUCUAGGGGCGCCGCAGGGAAACCGAGUCUUAACUGGGCGUUAAGUUGCAGGGUAUAGACCCGAAACCCGGUGAUCUAGCCAUGGGCAGGUUGAAGGUUGGGUAACACUAACUGGAGGACCGAACCGACUAAUGUUGAAAAAUUAGCGGAUGACUUGUGGCUGGGGGUGAAAGGCCAAUCAAACCGGGAGAUAGCUGGUUCUCCCCGAAAGCUAUUUAGGUAGCGCCUCGUGAACUCAUCUUCGGGGGUAGAGCACUGUUUCGGCUAGGGGGUCAUCCCGACU